AAUCAACGCUGGCGGCGUGCCUAACACAUGCAAGUCGAACGAGAAAACGGGGGCAACUCCGUAAGUAAAGUGGCAGACGGGUGAGUAACACGUGAACAACCUACCCUUGAGUGUGGGAUAACCCCGCGAAAGCGGGGCUAAUACCGCAUAACAUCCCUUGGUUGCAUGACUGGGGGAUCAAAAGCGAAAGUUGCUUGAGGAGGGGUUCGCGGCUGAUUAGCUAGUUGGUGAGGUAACGGCCCACCAAGGCAACGAUCAGUAGCCGGCCUGAGAGGGCGAACGGCCACACUGGAACUGAGACACGGUCCAGACACCUACGGGUGGCUG
rnacentral:rRNA from 1 species